rnacentral:rRNA from 1 species
AUUGAACGCUGGCGGCAGGCCUAACACAUGCAAGUCGAACGAGGGGCGGACGGGUGAGUAAUGUCUGGGAAACUGCCUGAUGGAGGGGGAUAACUACUGGAAACGGUAGCUAAUACCGCAUACCAUCGGAUGUGCCCAGAUGGGAUUAGCUAGUUGGUGGGGUAAAGGCUCACCUAGUCGACGAUCCCUAGCUGGUCUGCGAGGAUGACCAGCGACACUGGAACUGAGGCACGGUCCAGACUCCUACGGGAGGCAGGAGAGGGGAAUGUUGGACAAUGGGCGCAAGCCUGAUGCGGCCGUGCCGCGUGUAUGAAGAAGGCCUUCGGGUUGUAAAGUACUUUCAGCGGGGAGGCGUUACCCGCAGAAGAAGCACCGGCUAACUCCGUGCCAGCCGCCGCGGUAAUUC